rnacentral:misc_RNA from 1 species
CCCAAGCAGCAGCCGGCGCGCGCAUUGAUGAAGUCAACAACAACAACAAGUAUGGCGUCAGUUACAAAAACCAAAAUCGAAAAAAAAUAUUAAAAGAAGUGAAUAAAUUUUUGACGGGGUGAUCAGUCCUGUUGGCAACAGAAAAACAUUGUUUGAAGAGCUCAGCAGUAGUGGUCUAAAAUUGAUUAAAUACAGAGAAUAGUUACAUAUCAGUGCCUAUUAUACUUACAAAAAUACAAAAUUUUACAAACUUGACAAAAUUGUCUUUGAAAAGCUUGGUUAUUAUCAAAAAUAGACAUUCUUUGCCUGUGACAGACUUGAACAAAAACUACGGGUUUCUGUGGAAUUUAUCACUAAAAACUAAAAAAGUUAGGUCUAAGUAGUAAUAUAAUUUCUGCCUUCUUUAAUGAAUGCAGAGUGACAAUUUACUUAAGUUUGAUGAGAGUUUAAGGCCGGGAAAUACGAGACAUCAUGGCAGCUCCAGACCUGGAUGUGAUCAAAGAUAUACCUGGGUACAAAGUCAUACUGAAGGCGGUUCUGAAAAGCCAAAUACAGCAACUGGUUGAGCAACUGGCCUCCACUACUGAAGAGGAGUCAGUGAUUCUCACAGCAAGUGUUGCUGACGGUACACUCAGUCACCUUGGCUCUCAAUCUGGUAAAGGUUUCCUUGAAGAUCAUGAAGAUAUCAAAUCACAGUUUUUGGGAUUCUGUCUCAAAAAACACCAUAGAGACAAACAAGAAAAAGAACGCCAGGAGGCUGAAGCUGCUUUAAUUCAAGCCACACAGGCAGCUGCUAGGCAAAGAAGCCCUCGUGGACCCUAUCCAGCUAGAUCUCCAAGGUUUUCUUCGCCUCAUGGUCCAGGGCCAGUACACCCAGUUGCUCUUACGCGAUCUCCACGGGGUGGGCGGAUGAUAUCACCAGGUAAUAGGCAUGAACCUUAUCCAGCAGCAAGACCCCCAAGAAGAACAAGUACAGAGCCAAGUCCUGUCAAAGUAAAUAAUGGCAGUGGACAGGUUAUUAAAGUAGAACUAGAUACUCAUUCAAAUGAAAAUGACACAUUUAAUCAGGAUACAGAUCAGUCAUCAUCUCAUCAAUCUAAUGCUCCAUCUAGUGUCAAAUCUGAAAGUGGCGAGAAAGAUGAGGACGCCCAGUCGGAAUCCUCAAAUUCUACCAUUCCAAAUGAACCUCUAGCAGAAGGAAUUAGUUUAGAUUCAGACUUGUCAAAUGUGAUUUCAGGACCUAGUCACACACAGAUUGGUGAAAGUAGUGAAAUAGACCCAAAUGUUUCUGUUAAAAUAGAGGCAUUAACUGAAAGUGAGAUGGAGCUUGAAAUUACGGGUGUAGAACCCGGUCGACCUGUUGUGCCCCAGGAUAACUGGGACCCUAACAUUUCUUUGGGGAUGAACUUUGACCCCUCGCAAGGUGCUACUGGGAAUCAGGCAGACAUGUCAGGGCAGGGAUACAAGGAUAUUGGUACUUACCAGUCAGAAUACAGAAUGGAACUCCUAAACCAACCUGAAUAUGGGAUGGAACAGUUGCACCAAUCAGAAAACAAGAUGAAACAGAUGAACCAGUCAGAAAACAACAGCACAAAUUUUGAAUUGCAGCCAUUUGUGGAAGUUAAAAGUGGCGGUCUGAGUAUGUUACUAUGUCAGUUUGAAAAGUGUGGGAAGAAGUUCGCAUCUCGGCAUAUGAUGAUUCGACAUUUAAGGAUUCAUACGAAAGAAAAACCAUUUGUUUGUGUAUAUUGUGGAUUUAGAUGUACAAGGAAAGAUAAUCUGAGACAGCAUAUAAGAUGUAAACACGAUCAAUUUAUGUAGAUAUCUGACAAAAAAUACGUUCUCGGAAUGGUUGAGAUUUGAUAAUCAUACGGAUUUGGGGACACAGUCAGAUGGCAUACGGACUCACUAUACCACCAGUCAGAGUGAAGAUACAAUAAAAGAAUUUUAUAUAGAAGCAAAUAAUGGAGAUGUGUUUGUUUGUUGUCAUGGAAACUGCGGUAAACAGUUC